rnacentral:misc_RNA from 1 species
GAUGAAGAACGCAGCGAAAUGCGAUACGUAAUGUGAAUUGCAGAAUUCAGUGAAUCAUCGAAUCUUUGAACGCAUAUUGCGCUCUCUGGUAUUCCGGAGAGCAUGCUUGUUUGAGUAUCAGUAAACACCUCAACUUCCAUAUCUUUUUUGAAAUGGGAGUUGGACUUGAGUGAUCCCAACGCUUUUCCUCACCGAAAAGCGGCAGGUUACUUGAAAUGCAGGUGCAGCUGGACUUUUCUCUGAGCUAUAAGCAUAUCUAUUUAGUCUGCCUAAAAAACAGAUUAUUACCUUUGCUGCAGCUAACAUAAAGGAGAUUAGUUCUUGUGCUGACUGAUGCAGGAUUCACAAAGACAGGCUUCGGCCGACUUUGUAAACUCGAUCUCAAAUCAAGUAAGACUACCCGCUGAACUUAAGCAUAUCAAUAAGCGGAGGA